rnacentral:rRNA from 1 species
AGAGUUUGAUCAUGGCUCAGGACGAACGCUGGCGGCGCGCUUAACACAUGCAAGUCGAGCGAGAACCUAGGCUUCGGCUUAGGGGAAAGCGGCGAACGGGUGAGUAUCACGUGGGUAAUCUGCCCUCGACAUCGGGAUAGCCCGGGGAAACCCGGAUUAAUACCGAAUGGCCCAUCCGCUCUUCGGAGCGGCUGGAAAAGGUAGCUUCGGCCUCCGGUCGAGGAGGAGCCCGCGGCGGAUUAGCUUGUUGGUGAGGUAAUGGCUCACCAAGGCGACGAUCCGUAGCUGGUCUGAGAGGACGAUCAGCCACACUGGGACUGAGACACGGCCCAGACUCCUACGGGAGGCAGCAGUGGGGAAUCUUGCGCAAUGGGCGAAAGCCUGACGCAGCGACGCCGCGUGCGGGAAGAAGGCCUUCGGGUUGUAAACCGCUUUCAGGAGGGACGAAGCCACUCGGGUUAAUAGCCCAGAGGGUGACGGUACCUCCAGAAGAAGCCCCGGCUAACUACGUGCCAGCAGCCGCGGUA